CCUACGGGAGGCAGCAGUGGGGAAUAUUGGGCAAUGGGCGCAAGCCUGACCCAGCAACGCCGCGUGAAGGAAGAAGUCUUUCGGGUUGUAAACUUCUUUUCUCAGGGACGAAGAAAGUGACGGUACCUGCGGCAUAAGCCACGGCUAACUACGUGCCCGCAGCCGCGGGAAUACGUAGGUGGCAAUCGUUCUCCGGAUUUAUUGGGUGUAAAGGGCGUGUAGGCGGGAGCGCAAGUCAGAUGUGAAAACUCAGGGCUCAACCCUGAGCCUGCAUUGGAAACUGUGUUUCUUGAGUGCUGGAGAGGCAAGCGGAAUGCCGGGUGUAGCGGUGAAAUGCGGAGAUAUACGGAGGAACACCAGUGGCGAAGGCGGAUUGCUGGACAGGAACUGACGCUGAGGCGCGAAAGCGUGGGGAGCAAACAGGAUUAGAUACCCUUGUAGUC
rnacentral:rRNA from 1 species